CGCUAGCUACAGGCUUAACACAUGCAAGUCGAGGGGCAUCAGGAAGAAAGCUUGCUUUCUUUGCUGGCGACCGGCGCACGGGUGAGUAACACGUAUCCAACCUGCCCUUUACUCGGGGAUAGCCUUUCGAAAGAAAGAUUAAUACCCGAUGGCAUAAUGAUUCCGCAUGGUUUCAUUAUUAAAGGAUUCCGGUAAAGGAUGGGGAUGCGUUCCAUUAGGUUGUUGGUGAGGUAACGGCUCACCAAGCCUUCGAUGGAUAGGGGUUCUGAGAGGAAGGUCCCCCACAUUGGAACUGAGACACGGUCCAAACUCCUACGGGAGGCAGCAGUGAGGAAUAUUGGUCAAUGGGCGCUAGCCUGAACCAGCCAAGUAGCGUGAAGGAUGAAGGCUCUAUGGGUCGUAAACUUCUUUUAUAUAAGAAUAAAGUGCAGUAUGUAUACUGUUUUGUAUGUAUUAUAUGAAUAAGGAUCGGCUAACUCCGUGCCAGCAGCCGCGGUAAUACGGAGGAUCCGAGCGUUAUCCGGAUUUAUUGGGUUUAAAGGGAGCGUAGGUGGACUGGUAAGUCAGUUGUGAAAGUUUGCGGCUCAACCGUAAAAUUGCAGUUGAUACUGUCAGUCUUGAGUACAGUAGAGGUGGGCGGAAUUCGUGGUGUAGCGGUGAAAUGCUUAGAUAUCACGAAGAACUCCGAUUGCGAAGGCAGCUCACUGGACUGCAACUGACACUGAUGCUCGAAAGUGUGGGUAUCAAACAGGAUUAGAUACCCUGGUAGUCCACACAGUAAACGAUGAAUACUCGCUGUUUGCGAUAUACAGUAAGCGGCCAAGCGAAAGCAUUAAGUAUUCCACCUGGGGAGUACGCCGGCAACGGUGGAACUCAAAGGAAUUGACGGGGGCCCGCACAAGCGGAGGAACAUGUGGUUUAAUUCGAUGAUACGCGAGGAACCUUACCCGGGCUUAAAUUGCAGUGGAAUGAUGUGGAAACAUGUCAGUGAGCAAUCACCGCUGUGAAGGUGCUGCAUGGUUGUCGUCAGCUCGUGCCGUGAGGUGUCGGCUUAAGUGCCAUAACGAGCGCAACCCUUAUCUCUAGUUACUAACAGGUUAUGCUGAGGACUCUAGAGAGACUGCCGUCGUAAGAUGUGAGGAAGGUGGGGAUGACGUCAAAUCAGCACGGCCCUUACGUCCGGGGCUACACACGUGUUACAAUGGGGGGUACAGAAGGCAGCUACCUGGUGACAGGAUGCUAAUCCCAAAAGCCUCUCUCAGUUCGGAUCGAAGUCUGCAACCCGACUUCGUGAAGCUGGAUUCGCUAGUAAUCGCGCAUCAGCCAUGGCGCGGUGAAUACGUUCCCGGGCCUUGUACACACCGCCCGUCAAGCCAUGAAAGCCGGGGGUACCUGAAGUACGUAACCGCAAGGAGCGUCCUAGGGUAAAACUGGUAAUUGGGG
rnacentral:rRNA from 1 species